UACGUAGGGACCGAGCGUUGUUCGGAUUCAUUGGGCGUAAAGGGUGCGUAGGUGGCGCCGUAAGUCGGGUGUGAAAUUUCGGAGCUUAACUCCGAAACUGCAUUCGAUACUGCCGUGCUUGAGGACUGGAGAGGAGACUGGAAUUUACGGUGUAGCGGUGAAAUGCGUAGAUAUCGUAAGGAAGACCAGUGGCGAAGGCGGGUCUCUGGACAGUUCCUGACGCUGAGGCACGAAGGUCAGGGGAGCAAACGGG
rnacentral:rRNA from 1 species